ensembl:snRNA U6 U6 spliceosomal RNA
GUGCUCAUUUCCAUAACACAUAUUCUAAAAUUGGAACAGUACAGAGCAUGGCCCCUGGGCAAGGAUGACAAGUGAAUCUGUGAAAUGUUAAGGGGGGAAAUUAAU